AUUCUAUCAUAGUUGCCUGCACGUGAUGAUGGGGUUUUCCUGCUCAUGUAUGAGAUAUGCCUCCCUCAAACGUUAUUACAAGGUCAGAACAUUACCCCGUCUGAUG